CAUGCUGAUCAAGUGUGUCAU
rnacentral:miRNA from 1 species